GGGGAACCAGGACUUUUACUUUGAAAAAAUUAGAGUGCUCCAGGCAGGCCCAUGCUCGAAUACAUUAGCAUGGAAUAAUAGAAUAGGACGUGUGGUUCUAUUUUGUUGGUUUCUAGGACCGCCGUAAUGAUUAAUAGGGACAGUCGGGGGCAUCAGUAUUCAAUUGUCAGAGGUGAAAUUCUUGGAUCUAUUGAAGACUAACUACUGCGAAAGCAUUCGCCAAGGAUGUUUUCAUUGAUAAGGAACGAAAGUUAGGGGAUCGAAGACGAUCAGAUACCGUCGUAGUCUUAACUAUAAACUAUGCCGACUAGGGAUCGGACGAUGUUAUCUUUUGACGCGUUCGGCACCUUUCGAGAAAUCAAAGUGCUUGGGCUCCAGGGGGAGUAUGGUCGCAAGGCUGAAACUUAAAGAAAUUGACGGAAGGGCACCACCAGGGGUGGAACCUGCGGCUUAAUUUGACCCAACACGGGGAAACUCACCAGGUCCAGACACAGUGAGGAUUGACAGAUUGAGAGCUCUUUCUUGAUUCUGUGGGUGGUGGUGCAUGGCCGUUCUUAGUUGGUGGAGUGAUUUGUCUGCUUAAUUGCGAUAACGAACGAGACCU
rnacentral:rRNA from 1 species